rnacentral:rRNA from 1 species
GACAGAGGGUGCAAACGUUGCUCGGAAUUACUGGGCGUAAAGCGCAUGUAGGCGGGCCGGCAAGUCAGAUGUGAAAUCCCUGGGCUCAACCUAGGAACUGCAUUUGAAACUGCCGGUCUCGGAGUGAUGGAGAGGGUAGCGGAAUUCUCGGUGUAGAGGUGAAAUUCGUAGAUAUCGAGAGGAACACCGGUGGCGAAGGCGGCUACCUGGACAUCUACUGACGCUGAGAUGCGAAAGCGUGGGGAGCAAACAGG